CAAAAUGGCUCUGCUGCAGAGACAGCAGAAGUAGAAGAGAGAUUUGAUGUAUGGUUUUUUCCUGGUAUUGUGAUGAUGUACAGCGUAGUUACUUGUCCUCUGGCUUAUAUAUUUAUUUUAUUAUGUGCCUUUUCGAGUCCUGCCGAAUCUGCAAAAAGCGAUAUUGAACUAGAUGCCAAAGCACAGCAUAACCAUCAGAUUGACAGCUUAAAUUUACUUUUGUAUACAUUCUUACUUACUCUGACAGUGUUAACCAUAUGGCUGUUCAAACACAGAAGAUUUAGAUUUAUCCACGAGACUGGACUAGCUGUGAUUUAUGGCCUUAUUGUGGGAGCUCUUAUACGAUAUGCUGGAAAUGCCAGUUCUGUUGUACACAUGACUGUUGUACCUGAGAAAGACAAAUAUAAUCUGUCUUUGCCUCCGGAUUCCUUAUGGCUACGUUUUCCAAACAAAGGAGGGUCACCAAAUGUUCCAAACAAGACGUAUGCCUAUACAUUCAGAGGAGAAAUUGAUGUUGAUGACAGUGAAAUUGAACUUAAGGCUACAUUUGAUCCAGAAAUAUUUUUCAACAUUAUAUUACCACCAAUCAUUUUUCAUGCUGGUUAUAGCUUGAAAAGGAAAUACUUCUUUCGGAACCUUGGGGCUAUUUUGACUUAUGCACUGAUUGGCACAACACUGUCGUCGUUUGCUGUGGGUGCUUUGAUGUAUGGUUUCAUCCAGCUGCGGCCCUACCUGAAGUCAAGUUUCACGUUUUUGGAUACUUUAUACUUUGGUGCCCUCAUUUCUCCAACAGAUCCUUUGACAAUAUUAGCCAUUUUCAACGACCUUCAUGUUGAUGUCAAUUUGUAUGCACUUGUUUUUGGUGAAAGUGUCCUAAAUGAUGCAGUUGCUAUUGUUUUAAGUGGAGCUAUACAAAAUUAUGGAGAAAGGUACCAAUCAGGAUCAGGAGGUUUUGAAACUGAUGCAUUCUUUAGAGCAUUGGGCGAUUUCUUCGUGAUUUUCAGCUUAUCUCUCCUGAUUGGAACUGUCAUGGGAUGCAUUACAGCCUUGAUAUCCAAGUUCACGAGGGUGAGGGAUUUUCCUCUCCUGGAAUCAGCUUUGUUUGUGCUGAUGUCAUACAGCACGUUUCUUAUCGCAGAGGCAUCUGACCUCACAGGUAUUGUGGCUGUCCUGUUUUGUGGAAUCUGUCAAGCACAUUAUACCUACAACAAUUUGUCCGUAGACUCUCGAACAAGGACAAAGAAGUUGUUUGAACUGCUCAACUUUCUUGCUGAAAAUUUUAUAUUUGUAUACAUAGGUGUUUCUAUGUUCACAUUCCCAAAACAUCAUUUUGAUCCUGGAUUCAUCAUUGUGGGAUUUUUAUGUGCAAUGGUGGGUCGAGCAGUCAACAUUUAUCCUCUAUCAUUCCUUUUAAAUCUAGGCAGGAAACCAAAGAUCGCAUAUAACUUUCAGCAUAUGUUGUUUUUUGCAGGUCUGAGGGGAGCUAUGUCUUUCGCAUUGGCCAUCCGAAAUACUGUGUCAGAUGCAAGACAAGCCAUGUUGACAACUACUUCACUGAUAGUUAUCAUCACAGUAAUAGUGCAAGGUGGUGCAACAAUGCAAUUGUUGACAUGGUUCAAGAUACCUGUCGGGGUGGAAGAAGAAGUAGAAAUGCUUCCCUAUACAGGAGUUAGAAAUGUAUACAAUUCAAUGGGGACAACAUUGAGGGAGGACACAUCGGAGCAGCCUCGUGAGAGCAACAAAGUCAAUGAAAAAGCUUGGCUUGCUCGUAUUUGGGGGAACUUUGAUGUAAGAUAUAUGAAACCAUUGUUGACACAUGCACGUCCCACACUAUUGGAAACCCUUCCUGUUUGCUGUAAUCCUCUCGCAAGAGUUUUGACAACAACUGAGCAAAUGACACAGGAUAAUCGUUCCAGAUCACAAAUGGAUUCUGAUUCCGAUUUGUGUAUAGAUGACAAUGAUGUCAGUUACACAAAUCACCGUCGAUCCAGUGGUGCGAGAAACUUUUACGUAUCUAGUCCACAACAAACUGGGAACCGCCUUUAAUUGUGAAGUUUGAGAAGUUCUGUUGUGCUCUUAUGCUGAAGCAGAAAUGGGCUUUGUGAUUCUGUUUUAUAAUAGUGACAGUGUGACAAUAUCUGGUGAUUUAGGCCUUGGCAGUCGUGUAGUGGACACACGUGUUCGAAUCCCUGGACCUGGUGGAAAUAAUAUUUAAUCUGAUUAGGAAGUAUCAGGAAGGCUGUGAAAUAAGAAGAACACAACAGUAUUGUUUUGUGAUUAUUCCUAGAAUAUAAAAUGUGUGUAUCCUGCGUGAAGUUCUCUAAGCAAAGACCAAACAGACAUGUUAGAUACAGUUCACUGCACUAUAAUUUUGCCUUCAACUGUGCUUGAUAUCAGUUCAGAAGUGUUUCAUAACAUGUUCUGUAAACAACUGCAUGUGAAAUGUUGCCUCACUCUCAUUUGUUAGGGAAAUUUGUGUACUUGCAGCUUGUGAUUAAUGCUGUUAUACUUGGCAACUGAAUUUGCACACUGUUGCUCAUGUAGCUCAGUACAAGAAUCAUUUAAGAACUCUAAAACAUUUAUCACACAAUUUAUUGGAAACAAAAUUAAUAUAAUUCAAAAGUGUUAAAGUUUGUUUUACUAAAAUAUUCUUCUUUAUCAUGAACACAUUUUUAUCACUUAUAAUUAAAAAUAUCUAUUAACCAUACUUUACUCUGUGUUGUCAGCUAAUGUUUGUUAUAACAGACAUGAAAAUAUGAAAAAUAUGUCAGGCAGCAAAAUAGAAAGAAAACUCUGAGUCAUUCGAAAAUACAUUCUUAUUAAAGUAUUGAUUCUGGUGGGGUUUUGUCAUCUGCAAUGUGAUAUGUGCAAAGAAAGUAUCAAGAAGUUUCUUCGUGAAUAUUUAAUGACUUUGGAAAUAUAUGACAGUUGUGCUGGAUCAGAAAAACAUAAUUUCAUCUGUAAUACUGCAUUAAGUCUUCUUUUUUCAUUUGUGAAGGUGUAAUAUAAAUCCUAAAUUGGAUGUUAGUCAGUAUUAAAGGCUGAUUUAAUUUUCUUAUGUAUUUCUCUCAUUGAGGAGACAUUUUAUAUAUUUCACUGUACUAGCAGAAAGAGGCUGCAUGCAGCUCACUCAUGUCAUAAUAGAUGAAUAAUGCCAAAGUUUAUUUUAUUUAUUUAUUUCUUUUUUUUUCCUACUGUAGUUUCCAUCACCAGCAGUUUUAAUUUACAUUA